rnacentral:lncRNA from 1 species
ACCUUUAUAAGCAAAUUUUAUUCUUUAAAUCUCAUAUGAUAUUUUACAAAUUACUGUUUAUGCUGUAAAAAAUUAACUGAACCUCAUCAAGUACUAUACUUUACAUACUUUUUCACAGGAAAAAAAUUUUAAAACGUCCAAUUCUGAACCAUACCAAAAAGAAGCACUUCUACUGAACUGAACAUAAACAGAAGCCAUAUCUGUACUAUUUCAAAUGAUCAAUACCUGAGCUGCCAAUAGGUGAAUGUCAACAUGUCCUUUGAAAUAAACAGCAGAAAUUUAAAUUUCAAGAUGUUCUCAUCGUAUUAAUUCAUUCUGGUUUAUUUUAAAAUACCCUCCUUUUGCAGGGGUUAAAGAAUGACUUUCCUCUCCCAUUUAUUAAAAACAAAAUGACUGUAUUUCUCUCCUCAACCUACAGUUCUCCUCAGC